UUAUGGCUCAGGAUGAACGCUAGCUACAGGCUUAACACAUGCAAGUCGAGGGGCAGCAGGACGAUAGCUUGCUAUUGUCGCUGGCGACCGGCGCACGGGUGAGUAACGCGUAUCCAACCUUCCCCUUAGUAGAGGAUAGCCCGGCGAAAGUCGGAUUAAUACUCUAUGUUGUAUUUUGAGGACAUCUGACGAAUACCAAAGAUUCAUCGCUAAGGGAUGGGGAUGCGUCUGAUUAGCUUGUUGGCGGGGUAACGGCCCACCAAGGCGACGAUCAGUAGGGGUUCUGAGAGGAAGGUCCCCCACAUUGGUACUGAGACACGGACCAAACUCCUACGGGAGGCAGCAGUGAGGAAUAUUGGUCAAUGGGCGAGAGCCUGAACCAGCCAAGUAGCGUGCAGGAAAGACUGCCCUAUGGGUUGUAAACUGCUUUUAUCAGGGAAUAAAGUGCGGCACGUGUGCUGUUUUGUAUGUACCUGAUGAAUAAGGACCGGCUAAUUCCGUGCCAGCAGCGGC
rnacentral:rRNA from 1 species